AGUUAGCCAUUGUUAGCAGCUAACUAGCGUUACCUAAAAAACGUCUAUCAACCAAGUCCUGACUCCAACGCGAAUUAAAGACUACGUGUGCUGCAGGUGGAUCAGCACAAGAUUCAGCCCCCUGAACAGCUUUCACAAGCGCUGCAGAGGUUGGUGUGUGGGGGAGGCGCUCCCUUCUUUGAAUGUGUGGGGUUACAAGUGCCUUGCCCAGCUGCUCCAGGAACACCCUCCUCUUGUUCUGCUUAUCAGGCAUCCAGCCCAUAGUUGAGGUCGCUGUCCCAUCCACUGACCUCCACUAUCUCGCCUCUGGUCCUGGCCUGCUCAGUGAUGUUGUCCCCUGGGCCCUUGGUUGCAGCAGUCUGGGUCUGGGAAUCCAAGAUGGCCACCCAGUCUCCUCUGUUAUCCUCCAACCAAUCACCUGCAGGAAAAGCAGAUCAGGCUUCCCAUCCUCCAUGUCUACUUCCUGUAAGAGAUACAGAGUGAGAGGAUGUUGGAUCAAGAAAUCUGAUAUGAGCACCCUGCUAUGGAGCAUCUUCUGAUUGGGCAAUGAGGGAUUGCUAUUGUGGGUUUUUUAUAAGGUUUUUGACAUGCUUAACUAACUAUAAGCUAGUAGGGCUUCUUAUGCAUUAAAGUUUGAAUUGCUGACUCUUGUGAACCUGCAUUUUCCAUUGUUCUCACUUUUACCAGUGCUCAGGGCCUAACCAUGAAUAUCAGCCUGAAAUGUGUGUGUGUUAAAGAGAGCGCUGUACUGUGUGAAAUAUGUGUGUGUAUGCAACAAAUGUAUCAGUAGUGUGGGCGCUGUACUAUGUGGCCGAGACUGUGCUAAUCUUAGAGAGACACAGGAGGGGGAUGAAUCAGGAGACUGCUGACCAGACAAUAACUAAUAAACUAUACACACGAAAAACAUAUGUGAGGUUCUGAGUUAUGCACUAUAACCCAAUACUAUAACAAACGUGAUUAGCAACUGUAUUAUAUGUGAUUGAAUACUAUAACAAACGUGAUUGGAUAUUGAUAACCUGUUGGCCUGGGUGCCUGGAUGUCUGUGUGUGUGUGCUGGAAGUAACAGUUAGCUCAGAUAAGAAGCUGGGAAGCUGUAGUUAGCCUUGAGCGAGAACAGUGGACAAUGUAUACAGGUGCAGAUAUCUCAGACAAUGUUAUAAAACUGUCUGACCCCAGUCUCUGGGGUGAAGGAGCGUAAUCUACACAGCAACAGUGAAAGGACACCAGAAAGCGCAAAGAAGCUGGGACCAGCUUGUGUGCCAACAUCAACGAUAGGCUGGGUAAGUCUAAACCACGCCCAGUCUCUACUCUGACAGGCCGGCUCGGAAGUGGGAACUAACCUCUGUCACGAGUAUAAUAUAAUAUCUUUGUCAGAAACAAGUCAGUUCUCUGUCUUAUCCUGCGUGAUGAAACAUUGAACCCGUAUAUACGGAAAUUGUAUUUGCCAUUUAUAAACUUUUGAAUUAAGCAAUUAUUUUAACCAAGUUCAGGUGUAAUAUUGUUCCUAUCUCAGUUGAACUUUCGCAACCCUAACAAUAUGAGUACAAUGCAAACAUGUUAGGUGAUUUGAAAUGAUGCAAACAUGUUAGUUGAUUUGCUUACUUGACACUCUUUAAAAGGAUAGUUCCGGAUUUUGGGAAUGAAGCCCUUAUCUCCUCCCCCAGAGUCAGAUUAAAUGCUGUAUACCAUUAUUAUGUCUCUGCAUCCAGUAUGCAGGCAGUUAGAGGUAAUUUGGAGAGCCCAUGCUAACUAGCUUAGUGCAAAGAAUGGAAGUCUUCGGGUACACCUAGUAUGCUAGCUGUACCCAAAUACUUCCAGUGUUUACGGUGAGCUAGUUAGCACUGGCUUGAAAAGUUACCUCGAACUUCCUACAUACAGAGACGUAAAAUGGUUUCCACAACUUCAUCGGUCUCUGGGGAAGAAGAUAAAGAGCUUAAUUACCAAAAUCCCAAGCAAACCCUUUAAUGGUUUAAUAAUUCAAAGUCAUGGUCCCAGACUUAAUGGUCCAAUGCACCUGUUUUUAUCUCAAUAUAAAAUCAUUUCUGGGUAACAAUUAAA